AAAUGUAUAUUUGAAAAAUAAUCUGAAAGCUUUUCUAUUCUAUUCCACAGGACUUAAAUACUAUUUAUUCUUACCUUCAUGGAAUGGAAAUAUUAUCAAAUCUCAGGGAACAUCAGCUUAGAUUAAUGUCUGCAAGAGCACGCUAUGAAAGAUACAGUAGCAAUCAAAUUCUUUUUUGGUAAGUAUUUCCAUAAUUUGCUUAAAUUUAUGAUGUUUAAAUUUUAACUUUUAGUCUUGAUAUUCAUAUUUUGGAGCAAUUUCUGUAGAACAGUUUGAGAUGUAUUUAGGAAUUGUGAAGUAUGACUUAGAGUACAAAACUGCAAUAAAAUCUGAAGUAUGCAAUUUGAUGAAUUGUAAUAAACAUCUAUAGCUGUCUUAACUAUUACCCCAAUGAAAAUGUAGAACAUAUCAGCUCUCCAGAACACUUCAGUUAACCCUCUUCUAGAAAAGUAAUCACAUAGUUCUGACUUUGACCACCAUAAUUUAGUUUCGUC
rnacentral:lncRNA from 1 species